UCCCUAGUGGCUCAGACGGUAAAGCGUCUGUCUGCAAUGCAGGAGAUUCGGGUUUAAUCCCUGAGUUGGGAA
rnacentral:tRNA from 1 species